rnacentral:rRNA from 1 species
AUUGCACGCUGGCGGCAGGCCUAACACAUGCAAGUCGAACGAGUGGCGGACGGGUGAGUAAUGUCUGGGAAACUGCCCGAUGGAGGGGGAUAACUACUGGAAACGGUAGCUAAUACCGCAUACCAUCGGAUGUGCCCAGAUGGGAUUAGCUAGUAGGUGGGGUAACGGCUCACCUAGGCGACUAUCCCUCGCUGGUCUGAGAGGAUGACCAGCCACAAUGGAACUGAGACACGGCCCACACGCCUAAGGGAGGCAGCAGUGGGGAAUAUUUAACAAUGGGAGCAAGCCUGAUGCAGCCAUGCCGCGUGUAUGAAGAAGGUCUUCGGGUUGUAAAGUACUUUCAGCGGGGAGGCGUUACCCGAAGAAGAAGCACCGGCUAACGCCGUGCCAGCAGCCGCGGUAAUAC